UAAACUUCAUACAUUUAACAAAAAAAUUCUAAGUCCCCAUUAAUGUGUGUGCAAAUAUUUCUUCAAAAUAUGAUUGGAGCACAUAUCACGUCACCUGCAUAUAAGAUACGCUGAUUUUGUGCCGCUCUAUAGUCGAGCUAAUUCAAUUAUAUUGUCACAUAUAUAAUUAAGGUUCAGUUAUGUUGGAACCGCUUUAAGAUAAAGUAUACCUUUAUAACCACACGAUCAAAAUUACAACUUAUUUUUUACUAUUUAUCACUUUGUGUAUGUGGUUGUAAUUUGUGCUCUACCUUGGAGUAGCUCCAAGGUAGCCAUAGCCAUAUAAUCAAAGUUAAUUCAAAUGUAGUUUUGAUAAAUUUUACUAUUGUUGUAACUUUCCAUUUUUAGUUUCUUGUCUUAAUACCAAGUAAGCAAGCUAAUUAAUACCAAGUGUCUAAUGAUUUGCCAUUGUAAAUAUCAAUAUCAAAAAUAGAAUUAUUUUAUUGUGGUCUCAAAAUUAACACAAAAGCGCAUUGAUCAUAACACUAUCUUUAUUACAUUUUUGUAAAGUGUUAAUUCGUAAUCAAAUAUAUUAGAUUAAGGGCAGGUUUUGGAUUUUUUUUGGAAGGUUUAAAAGUAAAUUAAAAAAGUUAAAAGUUAAUUUUAGUGUUUGGUAGAUUUUUUUAGAAGUCCCUUUUGAUAAAAUUAUCCAAUCCUUCAUUAAAUUUUGAAAAAUAGGAAGGGAGUGGCUUUUUAAAAUUUGAUUUUAUGAAUUAUUUUUACAUUUAAUACAAUUCUAUAUAUAUCAUCAUAUAUAUUAAAAA
rnacentral:lncRNA from 1 species